AAGCUAUCCUCUUUGGGAAGUCACUGUUCCACAGGGAGGUGAGAGACUCUUAGCCACCAGAGCACGAGGAGAGAAUGAAGACAGAAAUAAGGGGAGAGGAAGCCAGACCUGGUGACUGAGUCUUGCUGAAACUGCUUGCCUCACCUAGAUAAGACACAUCUUCAUGGGUCCUAACAGGAUAGAAGGCCAUCGUGGGCAAGUUGCCCUUCCCAAUACCAUAAAGCCCCAAACUCCUGGGAACUUAGCUGCUACACUGGGGAGAAGGAGCAAGAGGGAGCCAUUUUGACCUGACAUUGGAUAAUAUAUGCUGCCCCAUCUCACAGAGGCCCUUGUGCCUUCCAAAACCGGGCGUUUUAUCCCUCCUGAAGAAUGGACCCCAAGCAGUCAAUAUCAUUUUUCUUCUAGAAGAUGAGGAAGAAACAGGCUUGCAGAAGAUAAGUAACCCUGGCACGGGACAAACAAGUAUAGACCUAAUGGGUAGGGUACAGUCUGUGUCCAAAGUGGCUGAACUAUUUUGUAUCCCCUCCAGCAAUGAGUGAGGGUUCCUAUUGUUCCACUUCCUUGCCAGCACUUGGU
ensembl:lncRNA